rnacentral:ncRNA from 2 species
UCUGGUAUGCGCGACUGGCGUAAACGUGGAGAACCACGAGGGAGCGCAUACGUCAUCAGCCGUACGCCUGGGCAGAGUAU